GUAGGUGAACCUGCGGAAGGAUCAUUACUGAGUUAGGGUCCUCUGGGCCCGAUCUCCAACCCUAUGUCUACAUUACCUCUUGUUGCUUCGGUGGGCCCGUCCCCUCUAGAAAUAGCGGACGACCGCUGGAGGGUCACCGCCCUCUGGCCCGUGCCCACCGAUGGCCCCAACCCAAAACUCUUGUUUAAUCAUGAAUUGUCUGACUAUGAAAAAAUUAAUAAUUAAAAACUUUCAACAACGGAUCUCUUGG
rnacentral:misc_RNA from 1 species